rnacentral:rRNA from 1 species
UACGGGGGGGGCAAGCGUUGUUCGGAAUUACUGGGCGUAAAGGGCUCGUAGGCGGCCAACUAAGUCAGACGUGAAAUCCCUCGGCUUAACCGGGGAACUGCGUCUGAUACUGGAUGGCUUGAGAUUGGGAGAGGGAUGCGGAAUUCCAGGUGUAGCGGUGAAAUGCGUAGAUAUCUGGAGGAACACCGGUGGCGAAGGCGGCAUCCUGGACCAACACUGACGCGUGAGGAGCGAAAGGCCAGGGGAGACAAAGCGGG